CAUCAUCUUGCCAACCUCCUCCCUCCUUGAAGCCAUCCCAUCUCGAUGCUGCCACCGCCACAGUCCCAUCAUCAUCCUCCCUACCAUCCUCCCACUUUUUUUCAUCAUCUCACCAGCCUCCAUCAUCGAAGCCAAUCCCAGUAUCUUGAAGCCAUUAGUGACUCGGCUCCAUCCACCGUCGUCCUCUCCACGGCCUCCUCCAGUUAACACGUCUAACUAAGUUGUUCGGUGAAAUGUUUAAAGCCUAGAUAUAAUCCGAUGCUAAGUGGUUUUUAACUUAAC
rnacentral:lncRNA from 1 species